CCUACGGGCGGCAGCAGUGAGGAAUAUUGGUCAAUGGACGAGAGUCUGAACCAGCCAAGUAGCGUGAAGGAUGACUGCCCUAUGGGUUGUAAACUUCUUUUAUAUGGGAAUAAAAUGUUCCACGUGUGGGAUUUUGUAUGUACCAUAUGAAUAAGGAUCGGCUAACUCCGUGCCAGCAGCCGCGGUAAUACGGAGGAUCCGAGCGUUAUCCGGAUUUAUUGGGUUUAAAGGGAGCGUAGGUGGAUUGUUAAGUCAGUUGUGAAAGUUUGCGGCUCAACCGUAAAAUUGCAGUUGAAACUGGCAGUCUUGAGUACAGUAGAGGUGGGCGGAAUUCGUGGUGUAGCGGUGAAAUGCUUAGAUAUCACGAAGAACUCCGAUUGCGAAGACAGUUCACUGGACUGCAACUGACACUGAGGCUCGAAAGUGUGGGUAUCAAACAGGAUUAGAUACCCGGGUAGUC
rnacentral:rRNA from 1 species